rnacentral:tRNA from 1 species
GCGUCUGUAGCUCAGUUGGUUAGAGCACCACCUUGACAUGGUGGGGGUCGAUGGUUCGAGUCCAUUCAGAGGAGCCA